rnacentral:rRNA from 1 species
UACGAAGGGGGCUAGCGUUGUUCGGAAUCACUGGGCGUAAAGGGCGCGUAGGCGGCUUUAUAAGUCGGGGGUGAAAGCCUGUGGCUCAACCACAGAAUUGCCCUUCGAUACUGUAGAGCUUGAGACCGGAAGAGGUAAGUGGAACUGCGAGUGUAGAGGUGAAAAUUCGUAGAUAUUCGCAAGAACACCAGUGGCGAAGGCGGCUUACUGGUCCGGUUCUGACGCUGAGGCGCGAAAGCGUGGGGAGCAAACAGGGAU